UACGGGGGGGGCAAGCGUUGUUCGGAAUUACUGGGCGUAAAGGGCUCGUAGGUGGCCAACUAAGUCAGACGUGAAAUCCCUCAGCUUAACUGGGGAACUGCGUCUGAUACUGGAUGGCUUGAGUUUGGGAGAGGGAUGCGGAAUUCCAGGUGUAGCGGUGAAAUGCGUAGAGAUCAGGAGGAACACCCGUGGCGAAGGCGGCCCCCUGGGUCGGCCCUGACGCUGAGGCGCGAAAGCGUGGGGAGCGAACGGG
rnacentral:rRNA from 1 species